ensembl:lncRNA MEG8 maternally expressed 8, small nucleolar RNA host gene
AAUGGAGGCGUGAUGGCUGAUGCAAUCAUUUUCCACUGAUGAAGGUUUUGAUGGCCACCUGUAAUGAACAGCCCCAUCUGAUUUAAUCACUGUGCAAUGACCGUGAACUGUACAGUUACCUCCGUGUGUCACAGGAAGACUCUUUUGACUUAAGCACCCUUCCAUGGUCAUGAGGUUUCUGGUUGCCUCUGUGUGUUAGAAGCUUGGAGACCAAUGCCUUCUGCUGUGAUCGCGUUCUCCACAGUUGCCUCUGGGUAGGAGCCUGGACACUAAUAGAAAAUGGAUGCACUUGAGCCGACCUAAGCAUUCAUGGUCAUGAGAUUUGUGGUUGCCACUGUUGGUUAGGAGCAUAGAGAUCAGUAAUGGACACACCUGGGCUGGCAGAACAUCUUGCCUUGAUCUGGAGCCCCAUGUCUGCCCCUCUGUAGAGGUGCACAUGGGCCAAUGAUGGAUGCAAUGAGCUGAUCAUUUUGCUGUGAUCAAGGCUAUGUUGCCUCUGUGUUAGGCCAAUGGUUGAUGUUCAUGGGUGAUUGAUCAUCCUGUAGCGACGGUGGUAUUGACUGUUCCCCAGAGGACAAGGAGUGUGUUCUUAUGUAAGUCAUAGUUGACAUUCUUGUUUUUGAUUGGGUAGUUUGCCUGUUCAUUGAUGUUCAUAGUACUAUAGAAGGUAGAUAAAUGGCCACAUACCUAAAGAAAAUCAAAGGGGACAAAAAGUGAGAGUCUGUUAUAAACUAAGGAUUAUAAUUAAUGUAAUUCAGUACAACUGUGGACAAUUUUGAAAAGAUAAAGAUUGAUGUCAU